UUUCCAUAUGUACUAGAGCGAAAGGGGCCCUAAUCUUAUUACUUCUCAUAUGAAAAAUCUCAUUUCACCAAAGCAAUGCUACCAAGUGCUACACUAUCCACAUUCUUGAUACCAAUCCUCUUCCUCUUCAUCACACCACCAACAAAUGCCGAUGCCGCUGCCGCUGCCACCGCCCCUCGGUUCCGGGAAGCCCCCAAAUUCUACAACUCGGCUCGCUGCCCCACCCUCUCCCCGUCCCCCUCCGACCCCAAUGCGAUCCACGUGGCCAUGACCCUCGACGCCGCCUACCUCCGCGGCUCCAUCGCGGCCAUCCUCUCCGUCCUCCAACACUCCUCCUGCCCCGAAAACAUCGCCUUCCACUUCGUCUCCUCCUCCUCCCCCGACCUCUCCUCCACCCUCUCCUCCACCUUCCCCUACCUCCACUUCCACAUCUACCCCUUCGACUCCUCCUCCGCCGCCGGCCUCAUCUCCACCUCCAUCCGCGCCGCCCUCGACUGCCCCCUCAACUACGCCCGCAACUACCUCGCCGACCUCCUCCCCUCCUCCCUCACCAAAAUCGUCUACCUCGACUCCGACCUCGUCCUCGUCGACGACAUCGCCAAGCUCGCCGCCACCCCUCUCCCCGACCCCGCCGUCCUCGCCGCCCCCGAAUACUGCAACGCCAACUUCACCUCCUACUUCACCCCCACCUUCUGGUCCAACCCCUCCCUCUCCCUCACCUUCGCCAACCGCCGCCCCUGCUACUUCAACACCGGCGUCAUGGUCAUCGACCUCCGCCGCUGGCGACAAGGCGGCUACACCACCAAAAUCGUCGAGUGGAUGGAGCUCCAGAAGCGAAUCAGGAUCUACGAGCUCGGCUCCCUCCCCCCCUUCCUCCUCGUCUUCGCCGGAAACAUCGCCCCCGUCGACCACCGCUGGAACCAGCACGGCCUCGGAGGAGACAACUUCCGAGGCCUGUGCCGCGACCUGCACCCCGGCCCAGUCAGCCUGCUGCACUGGUCCGGGAAGGGCAAGCCGUGGGCCCGCCUCGACGCCAACCGCCCUUGCCCUCUCGAUGCCCUCUGGGCUCCUUACGAUUUGCUACGCACUCCGUAUAUUCUUGAAUCUUAAGGAUUUUGAGGGAUGCAAGAGAGAUGUGAGAUCUUGAGAGGUUGAGAUCCUGCUCUGUUGUAUGUGAAUUGUGAGAGUAGUAUAGGGCGGUUAGGAGAUGAAUAUGAUGCAAAGAUAAAUGAGUAAUGUCUCGCAGGAGGAAAGAAGCAUUAUUUGAGAUGAAACUAGGAGUCAAAGUAUGAAAAAGGGGUCGAAAUCGAAGGCAUUAAUAAACCAUGCUUUAAUUACAAUGCAAAAGUAUUAUCAAAAUUAAUACGCAAGUGGCCCUAAAGGAGUUCCCAUCAUUGAUGAGUGACGGUGAGAUUGAUUGAAUGGCAUGUGCGAUUUUGUUGUGUAAUAGUAAAUCGAAAGGGAAAUUAUUGAAUAAGAUACUAUUCAAAUUAUAUUUUUCCUUUGAAAAAUGAUGUUUAAGUGAAUGUGGGCUCAAACCACACAUGGCUCACACAACCACUACUAAAUGAGGCACCAAUUCCAUGUUCA